rnacentral:lncRNA from 1 species
CAUGCAUGAGAAGUCCUUUCUUUUCAAAUACUUAUUGAGGGGGAGGAGGAGGAGGAGUGUUAGGAGGGUUACUCAACAUAAUAUAAAAGCAUGCUGAGGCAGAAAUACAUUUGAAAGACCCAUAGCUGCACUAUUUCCCUGCUGACAGAGUAAUGGGGUUUAAGACGGGAAUUUUCCUAAGAGCAAAAGUAAGCAGUGCAAGCCAAAUUGAUGCAAUGGCCAACAAAGUGCUAAAAGAAAUGCCAGCAAAUACAGAAGGAGCAGCCUGUAAAGGCAGAAAGGUACAAAUGAUUCAAAAGGAUCUCAAAUGGUAAGAUAGUAGAAUGAAAUGUCUUCAUGUUAUUUGUCACAACUGUUUAGCACUUUAAUGAAAUUAGUAUUUUUGUGUUUCAUGAGUAACAGAAAUAGAAGGAAAGUGAAGGGUAGCACUCAUAAAUGCUAGGCAUUGCAAUUUAACCCCAC